rnacentral:rRNA from 1 species
GUUGAACGCUGGCGGAAUGCUUUACACAUGCAAGUCGAACGAUAUUACCCAGCUUGCUGGGUAUGAAAGUGGCGCACGGGUGCGUAACGCGUAUGCAACCUACCUUAUUCAGGGGGAUAGCCCGAAGAAAUUCGGAUUAACACCGCAUAAAAUCACAGUUCAGCAUUGGACAAUGAUCAAAUAUUUAUAGGAAUAAGAUGGGCAUGCGUGUCAUUAGCUAGUUGGCGGGGUAACGGCCCACCAAGGCGACGAUGACUAGGGGAUCUGAGAGGAUGACCCCCCACACUGGUACUGAGACACGGACCAGACUCCUACGGGAGGCAGCAGUAAGGAAUAUUGGUCAAUGGAGGCAACUCUGAACCAGCCAUGCCGCGUGCAGGAAGACGGCCCUCUGGGUUGUAAACUGCUUUUAUUCGGGAAUAAACCUAUUUACGUGUAAAUAGCUGAAUGUACCGAAGGAAUAAGGAUCGGCUAACUCCGUGCCAGCCGCCGCGGUAA